UCAUUCUCCACCAAACACCAACAUUCUCCAUCAAAUAUCAACAUUCAACAUCAAACACCAACAUUCACCA